rnacentral:rRNA from 1 species
UUUUUGAAAAUAAUUUAAAGUCUAAUCUGCCCACUGAUGAAAAUUAAAGGGCUGCAGUAUUUUGACUGUACAAAGGUAGCAUAAUCAUUAGUUUUUUAAUUGAAAACUUGUAUGAAAGAUUUAAUGAAAUAUAUACUGUCUCAAAUUUAUUAUUAAAAAUUUAUUUUUUAGUUAAAAAGCUAAAAUAUUUUUAAAAGACGAGAAGACCCUAUAGAGUUUUAUAUUUAUUUUUAUUAAAAAGUUAUAUAAAAAUUAAUAUUAAAAUAAAAUAAAAUAUUAUAUUGGGGUGAUAGAAAAAUUAAAUUAACUUUUUUUAAUAAAUUAAUAUUAAUAAAUAAGUAAAUGAUCCAUAAAUAAUGAUUAAAAGAAAAAAUUACCUUAGGGAUAACAGCGUAAUUUUUUUUUUUAGUUCGAAUAAGAAAAAAAGUUUGCGACCUCGAUGUUGGAUUAAGAUAAAAUUUAAAUGCAAAAGUUUAAAAUUUUGAUCUGUUCGAUCAUUAAAAUCUUACAUGAUCUGAGCUCAAACCG